rnacentral:lncRNA from 10 species
AACAGUGGCCACGGUUCCUCUGUACUUCGUUUCUUCCCUUUAUAGAAUUGAGAGAUUGCUGAGCCUAAAUACAUGUUGCUGCAUUGCCUCCGAGAAUGGCCGGACCUAUCCCCACUCUCACCAAAACAGAGUGUGGGACUCACUGCUCCCUCGCCUACUAUGUAACCUUCCUAGGGAUGCUGUUUCUAACUGCUGCCGGCCCCUUCUUACCAUCUCUCUGGUUGUGCUUCUGACGCAUUCCCUACACAACUGGAACGUGUUUCCAGGUCAGCCUCCCUAAGCACCUCCCAAGGCCUCCACCCCACAGUGUCGCACAGAACUUGACACAUACCAGAUGCUCCAAUUAUUAAAUAUUACUGAGUACUUUUAGAAAAUUGGGAACAUACAAUAAAGUAUAAUGAAGAAAAUAAAGAAAACCAAUAAUCUCACUUCCCAAAGAUAAUAA